AACGAACGCUGGCGGCAGGCUUAACACAUGCAAGUCGAGCGCCCCGCAAGGGGAGCGGCAGACGGGCGAGUAACGCGUGGGAAUCUACCCAUCUCUACGGAAUAACGCAUGGAAACGUGUGCUAAUACCGUAUACGUCCUUCGGGAGCAAGAGUUAUCGGAGAUGGAUGAGCCCGCGUUGGAUUAGCUAGUUGGUGGGGUAAGGGCCUACCACGGCGACGAUCCAUAGCUGGUCUGAGAGGAUGAUCAGCCACACUGUGAAUGAGACACGGCCCAGACUCCUACGGGAGGCAGCAGUGGGGAAUAUUGGACAAUGGGCGCAAGCCUGAUCCAGCCAUGCCGCGUGAGUGAUGAAGGCCCUAGGGUUGUAAAGCUCUUUCACCGGUGAAGAUAAUGACGGUAACCGGAGAAGAAGCCCCGGCUAACUUCGUGCCAGCCGCCGCCGUAAGAC
rnacentral:rRNA from 1 species